rnacentral:rRNA from 1 species
GACGCACGCUGGCGCGUGCCUAUACAUGCAGUAGACGCUGUAGAGAGGAGCUUGCUCUUCUUGGAUGAGUUGCGCACGGGUGAGUAACGCGUAGGUAACAUGCCUUGUAGCGGGGGAUAACUAUUGGAACGAUAGCUAAUACCGCAUAACAAUGGGUGACACAUGUCAUUUAUUUGAAAGGGGCAAUUGCUCCACUACAAGAUGGACCUGCGUUGUAUUAGUCUAGUAGGUGAGGUAACGGCUCACCUAGGCGACGAUACAUAGCCGACCUGAGAGGGUGAUCGGCCACACUGGGACUGAGACACGGCCCAGACUCCUACGGGAGGCAGCAGUAGGGAAUCUUCGGCAAUGGGGGCAACCCUGACCGAGCAACGCCGCGUGAGUGAAGAAGGUUUUCGGAUCGUAAAGCUCUGUUGUAAGUCAGAACGAGUGUGAGAGUGGAAAGUUCACACAUGUGACGGUAGCUUACC